rnacentral:rRNA from 1 species
UACAGAGGUCCCAAGCGUUGUUCGGAUUCACUGGGCGUAAAGGGUGCGCAGGUGGGCUGUCAAGUUCGAUGUGAAAGCCCCGGGCUUAACCCGGGAAUGGCAUUGAAAACUGAUGGUCUGGAGGAUUGGAGGGGGGACUGGAAUUCUUGGUGUAGCAGUGAAAUGCGUAGAUAUCAAGAGGAACACCAGUGGCGAAGGCGAGUCCCUGGACAAUUCCUGACACUGAGGCACGAAAGCCAAGGGAGCAAACAGG